rfam:Staphylococcus sp. NAM3COL9 strain NA309 scaffold000014, whole genome shotgun sequence.
AAAAUGGUUCCUUUUGGAACCACAUAUUGUAAAACAUCACCUGCUA